rfam:TPA: Bos taurus chromosome 9, whole genome shotgun sequence.
UCCCUGGUGGUCCAGUGGUUAAGACUUUGCUCUUCCACUGCAGGGGGAACAGGUCUGAUCCCUGGUCAGGGAA